rnacentral:rRNA from 1 species
AUUGAACGCUGACGGCAGGCCUAACACAUGCCAGUCGAACGAGUGGCGGACGGGUGAGUAAUGUCUGGGAAACUGCCUGAUGGAGGGGGCUAACUACUGGCAACGGUAGCUAAUACCGCAUACCAUCAGAUGUGCCCAGAUGGGAUUAGCUACUUGGUGGGGUAACGGCUCACCAAGGCGACGGACCCCAGCUGGUCUGAGAGGAUGACGAGCCACACGUGAAAUGAGACACGGUCGUGACUCCUACGGGAUACAGCAGUGUGGAAUAUUGCACAAUGGGCGCAAGCCGGAAGCAGCCAUGCCGCGUGUAUGAAGGAGGACUUCGGGUUGUAACGUACUUACAGCGAGAAGGCGUUAACGGCAGAAGGAGCACCGGCUAACGCCGUGGCAGCCGCCGCGGUAAUAC